rnacentral:tRNA from 1 species
GAAACGGUAGCUCAACGGAAGAGCACUGGCCUGCCACGCCAGGGGUUGCGGGUUCGGGCCCCGUCCGUUUCU